rnacentral:rRNA from 1 species
AGCGGUGUCGAUGCGUCUAGGGGACACACCCGUUCCCAUUCCGAACACGAUGGUUAAGACCUAGUCGGCCGAUGGUACUAUACUGGAGACGGUAUGGGAGAGUAGGUGGAUGCCGCUG